UGUAUCACCAAGGGCCCUCACACAACGUGCUUGUGCCACGCAAAUCCCAGCCCCCCUUCAACAGCCAAACCCACUGGAAAUGGCAUGGAGCAGCCCCAAGCUUUGGGCAGUUGUAGCCCCUGACAUGCCCAGAGCCCUGUCGAGCAGGUGUUUUCCUUCAUGACUGUGCACCAGUGGGCUGCAUUUGGCUACCUACAGCAACUAUGUGCUGCUGCACUUGUGAAUUGUAUUAGUGAGUUUUCCUGGAGGACUUGUUUUAAUGUGUUUGCAUACAAAUCAACGAGCUUGUUGCAUCUGUCUGGAACAGCCACAGCAAGGUCUGCUUUGGUUUGUUACAGAGUAAAAUCUCAUGGGUUCAUGUCUGACAAAAACCCAGUCAUUUUCUUAGAGUUACCUACUGCUUUUCCCAGGAAAAAUGGGAGGGUCCUGGCUUCCUCCACUGCCAUUCUCACCUGCUCCUAUUUGACAUGUCAUGCACUGGAAGGUAUCUCAUUUGGCAAUGUAAUCGAACUGGAGAUUCAUAAAUCCAUAUCUAUUUUUAAACUGUAUUUAAGUUGGUAG
rnacentral:lncRNA from 1 species